UUAUAAAUAUUAAAAGUAAUAAAUAAUACAUUAUUAAUCUUUCUAUAAUUUUGAGAAUUAGUUACCAUAAAUUAUUAUUUGUAAUAUUCUUUAGAUUAUAUGAUAAGUGAUUUUAAAUAUUUUUAGACUUACCUUAAUUUUUUGAGAAAUUGCAUUCCAUGUACACCACUAACUGAGUAAUUUGCAAGGAUGGAAUUUAGCAUUUCUCGCUGAUGUGUUUUUUUUUAUUGUCCGCAUUACCCCUAUUCACUGUACAAAACAUUCUAAAAGCCUAACGUACAUACAAAACACCUAUAUCUUUAUCUUAUGCGUGAAAAAAAAUUAUCGGAGAGAAUUACUUCCUUUUUCACUAUAAUCGAUACACUCCUUAUUUCUAAAAUAGCCAUUACAUCUCUCAUCUUUCCCAUUCUCAUUGUUUACUCCGCCGGAACCUUUCUUACAAACUAAUCGAAUUCUCACCGGAUUAUCCAGGCUCUGUACAAUUGUAAGUUUUCUCCCGUAAAAUCUUCUGUUAUUUUAUCUCUCUCCUCUCUCCUAAUUCUCUCCUCCUCUCUUUUACAGAACUUUCUUCUCCACCAUUUGCAUGUACUCUGAUUUUCACCAGAUAUAGGACAAAGUUUAUGUCUUUUGUUGCUUUAGAUCGGAAGGGUCUAUAAUGGGAGGGUUCAAAGGCUUGCGAAGUUCCAGUUUCCAGCAAAGAUCUCUAUAAAUAUUGCAGAGAGGGCCAGACCAGUUUCAGCCAAGGUCUAUUACUGUUGGUGGCAUUUUAGUUUCCAGCAAAGAUCUUACAGAUACUUUGAAGAGGACCAGGCCAAAAUUUAUAUCAAUAACAAGUUUUAGUUUAGCCGUUUUUAUCUAAAGAUAUUCGUCUCAGGUGCUAUCGGUUGUAAAGCAUAAAUUUGCAAUUAAUUAACUAUGCUUUCAGUGUUAUAUCCGGCUAAAAAUCUUUUUAAUCAUAUGUGUUGAGGUUUGGUAAAGAGUUAAUUUUGUGUUUAGCCGUACACAAAUUUUAUCAUGUGUUGUGGUUGGUUA